rnacentral:rRNA from 1 species
UCCUACGGGAGGCAGCAGUGGGGAAUAUUGCACAAUGGGCGCAAGCCUGAUGCAGCGACGCCGCGUGAGGGAUGACGGCCUUCGGGUUGUAAACCUCUUUCAGUAGGGAAGAAGCGAAAGUGACGGUACCUGCAGAAGAAGCGCCGGCUAACUACGUGCCAGCAGCCGCGGUAAUACGUAGGGCGCAAGCGUUAUCCGGAAUUAUUGGGCGUAAAGAGCUCGUAGGCGGUUUGUCGCGUCUGCCGUGAAAGUCCGGGGCUCAACUCCGGAUCUGCGGUGGGUACGGGCAGACUAGAGUGAUGUAGGGGAGACUGGAAUUCCUGGUGUAGCGGUGAAAUGCGCAGAUAUCAGGAGGAACACCGAUGGCGAAGGCAGGUCUCUGGGCAUUAACUGACGCUGAGGAGCGAAAGCAUGGGGAGCGAACAGGAUUAGAUACCCUGGUAGUCCAUGCCGUAAAACGUCGGGCUCUAGGUGUGGGUGACAUUGCACGUUCUCCGCGCCGUAGCUAACGCAUUAAGUGCCCCGCCU